GGGUUAGAGUAGAAGGGUUGCGAGUAAGUGGGCUGCUGGAUGGGAAGAGACCCCCCUCUCCCAAUUGUGUUUUUGCCCAACUCUGUAGAAGAUGUAUCUGUGAGGUUGGGUGCUAGGGUAGGGAGAAUGGAGACAUUAAGUGGGAGUAAGAAUUGGGAAUUAGAUUCAGGAUUCCCCGGACCUGCCCUCUCCAUGUUCCCGCUGCUCUUUGGCCCUGCCCCAAGGGCCUGACUACAGCCCCUCUCCCUGCAGAGUUACUCUGUUCGCUCAGUCUGCUGUCAGCAGCAAACACUGCCUCUCUCUCAGUCCUGGGCUGGACUCACCCUCAGUGGUCAGAGCACUACUUUUUUCCAUCCUGGAACAUCAGUCCAGGGUCUCAUUAUACAUCCCAGUCUGGGUUCAAACUCCUGACUCUCUGAUCUCAGCCUCCCAAGUGCUGGCAUUAUAGGCCUGGAUCCACUACGUUUGGUCAAAAUGCUGAACUCUUACCUGUGGCUCUGGAGAUGUUUGCUGCCAAGCUAACGGUUUUGGAGAUCAAAGAAGACACUUUGGCUCAAACUAUGUUCUAGAAGCAUGGGGUUGAAAUGACCCGGAGAGUUCAGAAGACUCCAGCUGCCUGCCAUCAUCUGAACUGGAAAUUUCAGAGCCAAAGUGAACCUUGAGCCUUGUUCUUGGCUUCCCCAACCAUUAGGCAGUAUAAGCCCUUCCAAAACCAUAGUUUAAAAGCUAGAUUUGAUCUGGGGAUAUAGCUCGCUGAUUGAGUGUCUGCUUAGUAUGCAGGAAGCCUUGACCUUGAUUCCCAGAACCACAUAGCAUGAGGCACUGUGGCACAUAAACAAUCCUAGUACUCGGGAUCGGAAGCUCAAGGCCAUUUUCAGCUGCUAGUCAGUGGGUCAGAGGUCAAACUGGGCUACAUGAGACUCAACGAGACAGCAAACCUCAUAAACUAGAUAUGAGAUCGUUCACCUGUGAGACGACCCAGAGGGUGCUCUGUUUUGGUUGGCAAUUCGCUGAAGCACUUGUUCCUGCUCAGGGACAGACUAGAUGGAAUGGAGGAAGCAGGCGCAACAGCAGCGAUGGCAAGGAGGAGGAAUAGGAUCGGUGUUUCACCCUGAAUUCUGUCAGCAACAGUGGGAAGAGCUUUCUGGACAUCUUUCUUUUCCUCACUGUGUGCCAGCAACAAACACCCGGGAGCAGGGCAGGAAGGGUCAUGGCUGGGACAUGCCGGGAGCCAUCUUGGAUUCUGGACUGAUAAUAGCCGGGCAGAAGGUAGUGGGCAGUGAUUCACAGUGAGCGCAGUUCUUCGGAGGAGAGCAAGUGAAGCAAAGGGAAGGCAUUGCUGGCCCUAUGGUCAGCUAAUCUCAGGCUCUGCGGUUGAAACCCCAUUAGUAGAUGUCAAGUUCUAAAAUGAAACCUGGUAACCUCACGGUAAAAGUCAGGUCUCCAAAGUCAGUGGGUACCAGCCCCAAAUUGUUUAAAGUUGGCAAGAAAGACUCAUGCAUCCAAACCCAGUGUAAAUGUCAUUUCCCCUGAGGCUGGGUGGCAGGUUGGUGUGGGCGGGGUUCAGGGUGGGUAGCAGAGGGAUCCUUCUGCCUUUUCACGCCCUGUCCUCCUGACUCUUGCUUCUUCUCUCAGACUUACCCCCACACUGUUUAUUUUCCUGACUCUCCUAUCCAAUAAACUACUUUUCAUUCAAAUCCUUGUCUUGGGAUCUACUUCUGGAGAAAUCUAUGCCAAGAUGCAACUGUGGCCACAAUUCAUUAUUUAAUCUGCAGGGUGCCUAAUCUAGGCUUUGGAGCCUCAGAAGUCUUUUGGGAGGAAGUCAUACAAGUUGAGACCCCCAAGAUAAGUUGUGGGUGAGCCAAACACAGUGGAAGCCCAACGGGGAACAUUCUAAUGCUGAGUGAAAAGCCAGGGCAGUUUAUGAGCAGAAAGAAGUGAGUGGAGGCUGGAUUUCAGCAUGUAGAACUGAAGUGUUAAAACUGAAAUGGCCGAGGUAGGUUGGGA
rnacentral:sRNA from 1 species